rnacentral:rRNA from 1 species
GACGAACGCUGGCGGCGUGCUUAACACAUGCAAGUCGAACGGAAAGGCCCUGCUUUUGUGGGGUGCUCGAGUGGCGAACGGGUGAGUAACACGUGAGUAACCUGCCCUUGACUUUGGGAUAACUUCAGGAAACUGGGGCUAAUACCGGAUAGGAGCUCCUGCUGCAUGGUGGGGGUUGGAAAGUUUCGGCGGUUGGGGAUGGACUCGCGGCUUAUCAGCUUGUUGGUGGGGUAGUGGCUUACCAAGGCUUUGACGGGUAGCCGGCCUGAGAGGGUGACCGGCCACAUUGGGACUGAGAUACGGCCCAGACUCCUACGGGAGGCAGCAGUGGGGAAUAUUGCACAAUGGGCGGAAGCCUGAUGCAGCAACGCCGCGUGCGGGAUGACGGCCUUCGGGUUGUAAACCGCUUUCGCCUGUGACGAAGCGUGAGUGACGGUAAUGGGUAAAGAAGCACCGGCUAACUACGUGCCAGCAGCCGCGGUGAUACGUAGGGUGCGAGCGUUGUCCGGAUUUAUUGGGCGUAAAGGGCUCGUAGGUGGUUGAUCGCGUCGGAAGUGUAAUCUUGGGGCUUAACCCUGAGCGUGCUUUCGAUACGGGUUGACUUGAGGAAGGUAGGGGAGAAUGGAAUUCCUGGUGGAGCGGUGGAAUGCGCAGAUAUCAGGAAGACACCAGUGGCGAAAGCGGUUCUCUGGGCCUUUCCUGACGCUGAGGAGCGAAAGCGUGGGGAGCGAACAGGCUUAGAUACCCUGGUAGUCCACGCUGUAAACGGUGGGUACUAGGUGUGGGGUCCAUUCCACGGGUUCCGCGCCGUAGCUAACGCUUUAAGUACCCCGCCUGGGGAGUACGGCCGCAAGGCUAAAACUCAAAGGAAUUGACGGGGCCCCGCACAAGCGGCGGAGCAUGCGGAUUAAUUCGAUGCAACGCGUAGAACCUUACCUGGGUUUGACAUGGAUCGGGAGUGCUCAGAGAUGGGUGUGCCUCUUUUGGGGUCGGUUCACAGGUGGUGCAUGGCUGUCGUCAGCUCGUGUCGUGAGAUGUUGGGUUAAGUCCCGCAACGAGCGCAACCCUUGUUCACUGUUGCCAGCACGUUAUGGUGGGGACUCAGUGGAGACCGCCGGGGUCAACUCGGAGGAAGGUGGGGAUGACGUCAAGUCAUCAUGCCCCUUAUGUCCAGGGCUUCACGCAUGCUACAAUGGCUGGUACAGAGAGUGGCGAGCCUGUGAGGGUGAGCGAAUCUCGGAAAGCCGGUCUCAGUUCGGAUUGGGGUCUGCAACUCGACCUCAUGAAGUCGGAGUCGCUAGUAAUCGCAGAUCAGCAACGCUGCGGUGAAUACGUUCCCGGG